UACGUAGGGUGCAAGCGUUAAUCGGAAUUACUGGGCGUAAAGCGUGCGCAGGCGGUUUUGUAAGUUUGUCGUGAAAGCCCCGGGCUCAACCUGGGAAUGGCGAUGAAGACUGCAAGGCUUGAAUCUGGCAGAGGGGGGGAGAAUUCCACGUGUAGCAGUGAAAUGCGUAGAGAUGUGGAGGAACACCGAUGGCGAAGGCAG
rnacentral:rRNA from 1 species